CCCUAUUUGGAAAAUUGCUAGAAGACUCCAUAAAAAAAUGCAGCAGAUGUUAAACAAAUGUUACUGCCUCAAGAUAUAUUAGCUAGGAGACCACAAGAUCACCGUCCUUAUAGAGACUACACUUAAUAUAGGGACAGCAAACUAUACAGACCAACAUGAGAAUACACCAGACCCUCUAACUGGAGAGGUGGACAAUCCAAUAAAUCGACCAGAAC